rnacentral:miRNA from 1 species
CAGGAUGCCAAGUUAAAUUUGAAUUUCAGAUAAACAAUGGAUUUUUUUUUUUAGUACAAGUCUGCCCUAUGCAAUAUUUGGGACAUAAUUAUACUAAAAAAAAAUCACUCGCUGCUUAAUGGAAAUUCAAAUUUAACAGAGCCACCUGU